AUCUGGGAUAGCUCACUCAGUAGACCAUGAGACUCUCAAUCUCAGAGCCGUGGCUUCGAGCCCCACAUUGGGUG